CCCAAAACAGACAUACGCUGCAGAAAGAAAAAGAGAACCAACAAAGAGAACGAUAGAGAAAGAACAUCGGUCUGCGUAGAUGGUGGAGAGAGAAAAAUCUGAGAAGAAAGUCAGGAUUUGCCACCAUCAGACCACCGUACCCUCCGCUGGUAUGGUCUCUGCCUUUUUGUACCGAAGGCUUUUCUUGCCAGAACAGCACACACCAGAUAGAGUCCGUAAGGCAUACAGAGAUAAGCGUAUACCGUAACGGUUAAAGUUAUUGUUUUUCUUUUUUUUCGUUUUCAAAUUUGGGCAUCAACACCGUUAGGCUACAUAUCUGCCACCAUCAGAUUGUCGGAACCGGCUCCAGUACGUUUUCUUCCAUUUUUUUGCAGACCCAAAACCUAGGCAAAACGGUAAACAGAGAAGGCAUGGAGUGGGGACUGGGGAGAGAGAAAAAUCUGAGACCGUAGAAGAAGAAUAAUAGAGAUUGAAAGAGAGAUAAAUCUCAGGGCAGCCACCACCAUCACGCAGCCGGAACCGUUACAGGUAGUAUGUACUGCUCCUAGUCAUUUAAGGGGGAACAUUAAUACAUGCAAGCAUCAGGAAGCAGGCACUUUUACCAAUGCUUCAAGCUCUAGCCCCAGUUUACGCAGUUGAGAUGCUCUUAAGAUCAUCGAAGGACUGAACCUAUAAAGUUUAGAAGCUGUCUACAAAUUCCAGCAAUAGCAAAUUGAAAAGAGUUUAAUAGGGAUGGUGAAAGCUCAGCAUGCUAGGAUAAUGCCUUUGAGAAGAGUUGAUGGAUUCCUAAAAAAGAUGAGAAGCUGACAGUUUACAACUUUACAUUAAGCAACAUGGCAUUUGGAAUUGGAGUCAGAAUCCAAAACCUUAUGGUUUGGUAAGGUCUGGGAAGAGUCGUUCACUUUUCCAAAAAAGGAUUAAAAUAAAGGAGGAGCAUACUAUGGUCAAAACUAUUCGAUGGAAUGCCCUUAUGAUAGCUCUUGCAGUUGCUAUUGGCUUGCAAGAAUGAAUGGGAGGACUGCCUUUGUUAUUGCAGUGGUUCAUCUUGAAUUGGCUUGAGUUUUCACUUUUUAUUUUAUUUUUCACAUAUUAUUAAAACUAUUAUAGUUCAUGUAAAAUUAAAAUGUUUUAAUGUAUAAACUAUACUUUCAUAAGAUUUUCCCGUGCAUCGCACGGAUUAGCGACUAGUUAACUAUCAAAAAUUGAAUAGCUGGUUUACUUUUUAACUUUUUGUC